rnacentral:rRNA from 1 species
GCUAGUCGUUGUCGUCAGCUCGUGUCGUGAGAUGUUGGGUUAAGUCCCGCAACCGAGCGCAACCCCUAUUGUUAGUUGCCAUCAUUCAGUUGGGCACUCUAGCGAGACUGCCGGUAAUAAACCGGAGAAGUGGGGAUGACGUCAAAUCAUCAUGCCCCUUAUGACCUGGGCUACACACGUGCUACAAUGGUUGGUACAACGAGUUGCGAGUCGGUGACGGCGAGCUAAUCUCUUAAAGCCAAUCUCAGUUCGGAUUGUAGGCUGCAAACUCGCCUACAUGAAGUCGGAAUCGCUAGUAAUCGCGGAUCAGCACGCCGCGGUGAAUACGUUCCCGGGCCUU